rnacentral:rRNA from 1 species
CCCCUAGACGUUCUGGGCUGCACGCGCGCUACAAUAAUACGCACAGCGAGUAUCACCGAGCUCGAAAGGGCAAGGUAAACAAUAGAAAAGGUACUGUAAUGGUUAUAGAUCCUUGUAAUUAUUGAUCUUCAACGAGGAAUUCCUAGUAAGUAUGUGUCAUCAUCACGCACUGAUUACGUCCCUGCCCUUUGUACACACCGCCCGUCGCUCCUACCGAUUGAAUGUUCCGGUGAGCUCUUCGGACUGCGCGGUCUGCAGUUUCUGCGUUCCGUGCGGAAAGUUGCGCAAACCUUAACAUUUAGAGGAAGGAGAAGUCGUAACA